rnacentral:lncRNA from 1 species
GUUCUCUGUCUUCAUAUUAUCAACAACCUUAUGCUGCUCUUUGACUUCUAAGGAAAUAUUAAAUUUCUCAUUGGCCAGUCCUUGCUCCAUAACAAUGAAAUAUCAAAUUUAUCUCUGGGUGUGUGGCAGGGGUCGGGCACCACCUGUCAGGGACUGGCUAAGGGCUCCAUCUCCAAGGAGUCCCCCUUGGAGGUCUUCACCAUGGGUUCCACACAAGAGAUGAUCUCACAGGAAGCUAUUUUGGAAAUCCCUAAUAUCAAUGUGUGGGACAGAUGGCUGGGGCAGCCCUUCCAAUUUCUUGCUUUCCUUUGUAAAAUUCAAGACUCCAAAUAGAGACCAAUAGUGCUGGCAAGACAUCCUCCUUUAGUAGUUCAAUGAUUUCACCAAAUUCCCUCAUCACGGGUGAAUCGCUGGUCAUAGAAGAUCACAAAAGUACCCAUCUAUGUGGCCACGAGCACCAGAUGAAAGUAAUAUUGUUUGUUUGUCCACAACUGGUAAGACAUCACCCUGAAUUUUUUUCUUAACCAUUUACCAAGAUUAUUGACAUUAUUGAGUAGUUGUAGAGUUGAUAUUUAUUGAACUAUGUUGUGGUUAUGGAAUUUGGCUCCUUCUUGAAGAAGUUUGGGAAAGAAGAAAUUUCUCUUGCUCAGAAUGAGUAUUCUAAAAUGUUUUGUGCCUGUGAUCAAGUAAAGUAAGUGGACCAUAUCCAGGUGGUCAGUAAGGAUUGACUAAGAGAAUGAGUGAAGAAGGAAAGGGGACUUGAUGUUAAGUAAAUGGUAAAAACCUUGCAAUUUUUUUUUUAGAAAAAAUCUAGUAUGCUAAUACCUGUUCAUCAAGAGAGAAAUGUCUGUAAGCCUAAACGUGGGUAAUAGGACCUAUUACUUUCCCUAAAAGUAAAAAUGAGAGGGAGAGAGAGAGAGAGAAAGAGAGAGAGAGAGAGAGAGAGAGAGAGAGAGAGAGAGAGAGAGGAAACAAUUAGAAAAAAUGAUAAAUUUCUAAGUAUUUUGUAUUCCUUUAAAAAUUCAAUUAUUGAAAUAUCUCAUAAAUUACAUUUAAAUCCAGGCAUGUCAUCAAUUAACUUGAAAUGUCAGGUUCUAACCUAACAAGAUAGCUUUAAGUCACGUGUCCCUAAUGAACUGUACUAGUGUCUCAAUACUUAAAGCCUACGAAGUUCCCAGCAUUGAGUUGGUACACUCAGAAUGUGUAAAGGUCAUUCCAAAUUUAUGAAAGAAUCAGAUUGUCAAGAUGAAUCAGGAAAAUUCCAAGAAAGAAUCAGUUUUAUUUUUCCAUCUUAGAAAACAUGUGGUAUCUUUGACAAAUGAGAGUCACACUGAGUUCCUGUAAGAGUCACUUAACAAGAAAGAUCCUGCCAUUGUUCUUCAUACCAUGGAGCUGCAGAGAAUUCAGUGUGAUACCCUGGUAUUGUUUUCCUGGCACAAAAUGUAAGAGAUUGUGAGGAUAAAAUCUAGACAAUAAGUUUCCUUUGGCAACAACAUUUUAGUAUCCGACCUUAAGGGGCCACCAAAGCUGUAAAUCAGAGAAAUCAAUUCUUCAAUGUAGCUGUUUUAAGAAGCACUGGUAUUUUGACAGCUCCUAGUAAAUUCGGACUUUUUUUUUUUUGUAGGUAAAAUGUUCUAUAACUUUAUAUGCUAGUAUAAAGCAAGAUUAGUAGACUUGAUAAUGUUAAAUUUUAAAGGCAGAUUUCUCUACCCCCAAUCAAUAAAAUUUCUCUACCCCCAUCCAAUUUUGAGAAUCCCUUCUAUUCUGGGGUUGUGAUUGUGUGAUCUGAAGUUAUUUCUGGGUUCCUCUAAGUACUGUAAAUAACUUGCUGGAAGAAGUAAGUAUGUGUAGCAAAUGUUGCUUUUUAAAAAUAAAAAGAACUUUAUUAUUUUUCUUAGUAGAAAAAUGUUCUCUGUUCACUGUAAA